CCCGACGUUUUGAGCCUAUCGGAUAACAGUUCAAGCGUUAAGUGGCGUUCGAAGUCUCAGGCGGAAACAACGCUUUAGUUUAGGUCACAAACUUGAGAGCCAACCAUUUCUAACGAUCGUAUGUUUGGGUUUGCGUUCUACAAUCUGAAGUCGGUCCCCACGUAGAAGCCGACAGCAACUUAAUGAAGAUUUCGACGUUUGUUUUCCACGUGGAGUGUCGUAAUAGAGCUGGGAGGUGGCGCAUUCCUGUGUUUUGAUUCAUCCGAGGAAGAAUAUCAGCCUGGUGGACAACUUGGCCUGUUGUGAAGCUCUGGGCGCAGGACAGAAGGGAUGGUGGGCAAAGAAAGAGGAGAACAAAGGCCUAAUUCAUCCUUCCCAUUGUGCUAGCACCAUUGCAUCAAAAGCGAAGUCUGCUCCUUCACGCACCACAGUUGGAAAUAUUACUGCUUUUGUAGUCUGUGAAUAAAAAUUUGGACAAAC